CCUACGGGUGGCUGCAGUGGGGAAUAUUGGACAAUGGGCGAAAGCCUGAUCCAGCCAUGCCGCGUGUGUGAAGAAGGCCUUCGGGUUGUAAAGCACUUUCAGUGGGGAAGAAAGCCUUGGGGCUAAUACCCUCGAGGAAGGACAUCACCCACAGAAGAAGCACCGGCUAACUCCGUGCCAGCAGCCGCGGUAAUACGGAGGGUGCGAGCGUUAAUCGGAAUUACUGGGCGUAAAGCGCGCGUAGGCGGUCUGAUAAGCCGGUUGUGAAAGCCCCGGGCUCAACCUGGGAACGGCAUCCGGAACUGUCAGGCUAGAGUGCAGGAGAGGAAGGUAGAAUUCCCGGUGUAGCGGUGAAAUGCGUAGAGAUCGGGAGGAAUACCAGUGGCGAAGGCGGCCUUCUGGACUUACACUGACGCUGAGGUGCGAAAGCGUGGGUAGCAAACAGGAUUAGAUACCCUUGUAGUC
rnacentral:rRNA from 1 species